CCAUGUAAUACAUAAGGGAAAGAGAUACAUAGUUGGCUUACAAUCGCCACUUCACACAAUUACAUGAAUAAAGCAUUACAUCAUCCAGAUACAAUCAAGGUCCGACUACGGAACCAAACUAAAAGAACAACCCCAAAUGCGACAAAGGUCCCCGAUCGACCCCAACUGGGCUCCACUCCUGAUCAACUAGAACGAAACAACACAAAGGGAAAGAUCUUCAUCGAGCUCCUCCUUGAGCUUGGUUGCGUCACCUGCUCGGUAACAUAGGCACCUGCAAACUGGUUUUGGUAGUAUCUGUGAGUCACGGGGACUCAGCAAUCUCGCACCCGCGAGAUCAAGACUAUUUAAGCUUAUAGGAAGGAUGGAGUAAUGAGGUGGAGCUGCAGCAAGCAACUAGCAUAUAUGGUGGCUACAAUCGCAAAAGAGAGCGAGAAGAGAAGCUAGGCACGGUCGUGAAGCUAGUAGCGAUCAAGAAGUGAUCCUAGAGCAACCUACGUCAAACAUAACUCCAACACCGUGUUCACUUCCCGGACUCCACCGAGAAGAGACCAUCACGGUUACACACGCGGUUGAUGUAUUUUAAAUAAGGUCAACUUCGGGUUUUCUACAACCGGACGUUAACAAAUUCCCAUCUGCCACAUAACCGCAGGCACGGCUUUCGAAAGAUAAUACCCUGCAGGGGUGUCCCAACUUAGCCCAUACAAGCUCUCACGGUCAAUGAAGGAAUAGACCUCCACCCGAGACGUUCCGAUCAGACUCGGUAUCCCGGUACAACAAGACAUUUCGACAGGGUAAAACUAAACCAGCAACACCGCCCGAAUGUGCCGACAAAUCCCGAUAGGAGCUGCACAUAUCUCUUUCUCAGGGCACACUCAGAUGAGACUAGCUACGAGUAAAACCAACCCUCAAGUUUCCCCGAGGUGGCCCCGCAGGCAGCUCAGUUCGGACCAACACUCAGAGGAGCACUGGCCCGGGGGGGUUAGAAUAAAGAUGACCCUUGAGUCUGCAGAACCCAAGGGAAGGUGGUAGGUUGUUAGUGCAAAUGGUAAAACCAAUGUUGGGCAUUGCUGGAGGAGCUUUACUUAAGGCGAACUGUCAAGGGGUUCCCAUUAUAGCCCAACCGUGUAAGGAACGCAAAAUCCGGGAACAUAACACCGAUAUGACGGAAACUAGGGCGGCAAGAGUGGAACAAAACACCAGGCAUAAGGCCGAGCCUUCCACCCUUUACCAAGUAUAUAGAUGCAUUAAUUAAGUAAGAUAUAUUGUGAUAUCCCAACAAGUAAACAUGUUCCAACAAGGAACAACAUCUCCAUGUUCCAACAAGGAGCAAACUUCAAUCUUCACCUGCAACUAACAACGCUAUAAGAGGGGCUGAGCAAAGCGGUAACAUAGCCAAUCAACGAUUUGCUAGGACAUGGUGGGUUAGAGGUUUGACAUGGCAAUUUGGGAGGCUGACAAACAAAUGGUAGGCAUCGCAGCAUUGGCAUGGCAAAAGAGCGAGCGAACUAGCAUAGCAAAGAUAGUAGUGAUUUCGAGGGUAUGAUCAUCUUGCCUGAAAUCCCGCAAGGAAGAAGAACGAAUCCAAGAAGAAGAAAAACGGUCGUAGACGAACAAAUCCUCACAACUCCGGAACGAAACCGAAGCUAACGAGAGAAGCAACCCGGAAAGAAACAAACAACAUAGUAAACACACAAGCAUAAACAAGUCAUGAUGCACAAACAAGUAUGAUGCAUGUCCGGUUUAAUGAGGCAUGGCAUGGCAAAGUGCAACAAACAAUACUACAAGUUAAGUGGAGCUCAAUAUGCAACGAGGUGCAUGUUGACGGAACACCACAUCAAUCAUUUAGUUAUCUCUCGUUUAAGCCACCCAACAAUAUUAACUGUUGUUAAACAUGGCAAGAGGUGAAGCAUAAUAUAAACUAUACCAUCUAAACAAUUUAAAUGGGGCCGAAUAUAAAAACAACAAAUCCGGUAAAUCCCCAUAUGCAUUUAGCAAUUUAAUGCAACAACAAGUUUAAACAUUUUAAAAUGUUGUUAUCAUGAUGCGGAUGACAUAUACAAGUUUUAUGCAAUUUUAUGAAAAGGUUGACAAGAGCAUUAAGAAGCAUUCGGUCACCAUGCGGAACAAAAAGGGUGCCACGGCGACGAAUCCGAAAAUGAUGCCACGGCAACAUUCCGGUCCCGGUAACUCAUGGAGGUACCGGUGCAAAAGGAGGCAUGCGGAUGUGCGGAACAUGCUAGAGAUGGUGGGGUGAUCCCGGCUUCCGGGUUCCCACGGGACGGUGGCACGGCAAAAGAGGGGCAUCGCAAGGAUCGAUCACGGUGCAAAACUCGAGCAUCUCAUACAACACAUGCAUUCGGUCCACGGACGGCGUCUCGGGGUUAUACCUUCGAAGCGUGCGUUUUUGGAGCGGUUCGAGUCGGAGGGGAAGUAGUCGUUCUCGCGAUGGUAGAGGUUCACGUUUCGUAGUCGUUCGAGCCAUCGGUAGCGGUACUUGAUGAAUCCCGAAACGAACUUGGCGUCUUCGUGCGUAGGGGUACUUGGCGUUUCCGGAGACGACGGUAGAGGUACUUGACGCGUCGUUGUGGUACUUGGCAAAAAUCAUAGAGAAGAUGCUUGGCGGUCCUGGGAUGGUCUUGGCGUCCAUGUAGUCGAUCUUGCAGAUCUUGACGGUCCAACACAAAACAUCACAAGGGGCCUCGUGAGCGAUGACGAUGCUGAGCAGGAACUUGGGCGAACUGCAUUGGCCGAAACGGAAGGUGGAGGUCGGCUUGUAGCAGAGGAACGGCAGGAGCAGGGGAGCUCCAGCAGGGACCGAGGCGCGGCAGGGGAGGACCCUGGCGAGGCACAGCCAGGUCCGGUGGUGGCGGCAGUAGGCUCUAGUGGUGGCGAAAGGGCGCGACGACGAUGGGGCCCCUGGUCGCCGUAGAGGAAGCAGAGGAAGGCGCGGGUCCGGCGACGAUGGAGAACGGCAGGAUGCGGCGAGGAGGAGGCCGCAGGUGAGGGAGGAGGUUGGGCACGCGACGCAUGGUGGUGGAGGCGAGAUCCGGGCGCGGGGUUCCGUUCCCGACGCCGGAAUGGAGGGGGGCGCACCGGCGAGGAGAGGACGGCGGCUUGACGCGGCUCCGGCGACGGGGCGUGAUGCAGGGGACUCGGGCAGGGGGUUGAAGAAGACGACGCGAGGCAGGGGCGUCGGAGUUGGACUCCAGUUACGGCGCAGGAGGCCCGACGCGGCGCUCGGAGGAGAGGGGCGGCACGCGGCCAUGGCAGGGAGGCGAUGGUUGCGGGUGCACGAGGAGAAGGGAGGAAGAGCAUCUCAGGCGCUCGGGGUCGAGCUCGCACGCGAGGCCCUCCGGCUCGAGGAGCUGGGGAAUCGGGCGCGGGGACUCCUCCCUGGUGUGUUGCGUGUGUGGUGACGGCGUGAGGGAGGAGACGAGGGAGAGUGGGGGAUCGGGCGCUGCGGCUAGGGUUAGAGGGGCACCGGCUGGGCCUUGGGCUGGCUUAGGUUGGCCGGGCCUAAGAGGCCGGCUGGGCUGCAAGGCUCUCUUCUCCCUCUCUAAAGAAAAUAAAAACAAAACAGAGAUAGGAAAGAAAAGAAAGAGGGGUUAGGGGAAGAAGUAGGACAUGGGGAUAAUUUUUCCGGACUCGCAAAAAUGAGUUUGUUCCGAGAAAAAUAGAAAGGCCAUGAUUGAAAGAUUAAAUUCAAACUCAUUUGAUUUAAAUUCAAAUGAUUUGAAUAGGAAGUGAGGUUUGGGAAGGUCCAAAAAUGUUUGGAUUUUUGGUGGAGCUCCGGAAUAUGAUGAAAUAAAUAUUGGCAAGGUUGGAGACCAAACUUGAAGUAGAAAAGGAACGAAAUUAUUUUGUAAGUGUGUUUUGGUGAUUCCAAAAUAGUGGAAUAUUUAAUAUAGCUCCCUAAUAUUGGAGGAUAUGUUAUAAAGAGAAGUCACCAUGUGAGUCCCUCGAUUUAAAUGGAUCGGAAAAUCCAUACAAUUUAUUUAGUUGAGGUUUUAAAAAUUAAUGAUAUGAUGGCAUGAUGACAUGAUGCAAUGCACAUGAUGCAAGGAUGAAUGCAACAAAUAAAACAAAUCACACGACGAAACUCGGAAUAGCUGGAAGUCUUCUGGAGCGUCGGUCUCGGGGCGUUACAACACUCCACCACUACAAGAGGAUCUCGUCCCGAGAUCUAGGAUGGCACCGAAGAGAAACGGAAGAGGAAGAGAAGAGGUAAAACUAAGUUGCUUCUUUGACAAACAAGUGAAACCACGAACCUUGAGAGGUUGAGCAAUUUAAAAGAAAGAGUACAACAGAGAUGAACGAGAUUGCAAACAAUCCGUUAGAAAAGAGGAACAAGGAACAUUACGAGGACUUGAAGGUUGCAAAGCUAUGAAUGACGAGUACAAUGGACAAGAAGGAAUUGAAAUCACUCUGGUUGAAAUGAGAUAAACAAGGAACAAGGAAGAUCAAAAUCGGACAACACUCCGGUUGAAAAGAGAUGCAAGACUUGAUAAGAUGAAAAAGAACUUGAAAGAAAAAGGCAGGACACUCUGGUUAAAUGGAUAAGCAUGAAAAGAACAUGAUCCUGACAAAACAAGAUGAUGAUUGAAGAGCACAACAUCACAAUGCCUCCGAAACAAAAGAAUAGAAGAUAGAUCAUUGGAAUAACAGAAUGGAGAAGAAAAUGCCAACUUCUGCCACAAAUGAGUUUGGAAAGCAUCCUUGCAAAGAAGAAUUGAACGGAGUUGUUGGAAAAUCAACAACGAAAAGCACAAGCUUGUAGUGGGCUUAUGGAAAACAUCUCAAAAUUAUGAGGUGACAACCGGCCACUAACGGAAACAAUUUCUUGCUUGAGAUCAACGAAGAGAUGAAAACUUCUUCCACCAAGAUGAUAAAGAGAUAACUUGGAUCAUUAGCAAGCACCAGAAAUAGCAACAUUCCCAAUGGAAGGCUUUUAGGUGAAAUAUGACACAAGAUAACUCCAACAACGAGGUUGAUGGAUUUAAAAAUAACUCAUUCUUAACAACAUGUGAAUCAUGGAACAUGAACUCAAAUUAUCAAGAAUGACAUAAUACCACCUCCAAAAUAUGGUAGAAAGAAUUGCACUCUGGAUUACCAUAUGAAGAAAGCUUGAGCUCCUUAGGAAAGAAUCUCGAUGAAAACUUUGAGAAGGGAAUUAAAUCCUUGAUGAACCAUCAUGUAGAACCUCCAUGAAGAACUCCGGUAAACAAAAGGAAUGAAAAGAAAGAGAAAUUGAAAACACAAGGUGAAUCCUUGCAAUGAUUUAGAUGGAUCUCCGUGAUAAUUAGAGCUUGGAACUCCGGGAAAAAGAGAAGAUGAAACAAAUGAAACCGAGAAUUUUAAGGGCCUCCGGAAUAAAGAAUUAAUCACUUGGAUGAACAAGAAUAAGAAUUAUGUUAUGCUUAUCCUUCACCAAUUAAAUUGAUGACAAUCAACGGAUUUGGCAUACUACUUAUUCUCGUAGAAAGGAUUAAAAGGGAUAUAGCGUAAACUUGAGAAGGUCUUCAACGAACCACCGGUAGGAUUGGAACAACAAAUGAAUUGAUAUGAUGAACAAGGAAGAGAGAUCUUGAAAGAACCACCGUAAGAAUUGAAAAUGAUCGAAGUAGGGGUGCAUCACCGGUAAGAAUUAGCAAAUGAACAAAGGUGCUUGAGACAAACUAGAUACAUGAGAACAAAGAGAUCAAGAACUGAUUAGAGGAUAUUCGAUAGAUGCACCGGCAAGAUAGGAGAAUGAUAACUGACGGCUGAGAAUGAAUAAACCUGAAUUGAUGGACUCCGGAUGACAAAUUGAGAAGACUCUUGAAUAUCUCCUGAUGGGUGAAAAAGAUUCUCACAAUCGAAAACAAUUAUGAGAGGAUGACAACAAGCUAGCACCAUGAAUCUUGAAGAGAAUAGAGCAAGAUUAAAGAGAAACUCUUCUUCGGUCUUCAAAUGAUGAGAAUGACAACGAGAAACACCACCAAGAAUUAUUGAGGCACACCGGAAGAAUCAAAAGCGAAGAGGUUGAGCCAACUAUGAAAAGAAUUUGAAAGAUCUUGGAGAAAAGCAUUUGACUAAUGAUAACUCAUUCUUACGUCAAACUUGGAGAAGAAUUUAAGAGUAACGCCGGGAAAAUAAGAAGAGUCAGGUAAGAUCCUGGAAAAAGACCUGUGGGUUAGGGCCCACUCAAAAGAAACACCGUUGAACAAUUUGAAGAGAGAUAAUGCACCGGUUGAAAUAAAAGACUUGAAUGAGAGAACAUCCUCGAAAGAUCUUGAACGAAUGCAUAGUGGAAACACGAAUCUUCAAGAUAUCUCCAACACUCUGGAACAAAUGAAUAGCAAGAGGUGAGUGAUGGAGAGGUGCACCGGUAUGAGAAAGCAUUUGACACGAGGAGAGGAAUAAGAUCAACACUGAAAGCUUGAAUUGGAUCCACCGGAGAAGCAAAAAAAACGGAGGAUGAUGAACUUGAAACUCUUGAGCAUCUUCAUGGGAAAUCACCGGAUAAGAACAUUGACGGAAAAUAAUGGAGAAACUUCCCAUCAAUAAAAUGGAUACUUGAAGAAGAAAUCUUAGUCCUUGAAGAAAAACAAAAGGGAGGGAGGGUGGGAAAAACAAAGGCAACUUGGAGACGGAUGAAACAAACACCGUUGAGAAGAAGGGAUAAAUGAUCUUGCAAAUGUUGACGUGAACGGAUCCACUUGAGGAGAGACACACCGGUUAAAAAAAAGGAUUGACAAGACAGACUCGAUGAUCAAGAAGGAUUAGUAUUCACAUAGGAAUAUGAGAACACCAUUUGGAAAAGGUAUGGAAUUAACAUUUGACUUCGAAGCAACUCGAAUACCACAAAUAAAACAAAACAAAAGAUUGGCUUGCAAAAUAAGCCGGAACAAACAUAUGAUAGAGAUUUCGUCCGAAGUUUUUGUGGUGGGGCCUACACGGGCUCGAUCGUACAGCACCAUCAUGUACAAGGCAGUGCACAUGACAUACGAAGCGUCCCCGAGUCGGCAUAGCCAAGGACUCUUUAAGACACAACGAGACCACUGUAAAAAACGACCGUGGAUAGGCGGACCACUAGACGUCGAACCCCAAUUUCAUAUCAUACAUCCGUCAGAAAGAUAUCCUAAGAGCUACUUGAAUUCCCACCUAUGAAACUCCCGAAAUUUUCCGGUUAUGCAAUCAGGUGUUGGGGAUACAGGGGAAGCAUAAUAUCUCACCCAAAACUAGCAAAUCCUACAUCCAGCUGUAUCCAUCCUUCAACACAUAACCAAGAAACCUUCGGAAAUCGUCUACCUCAACCUUCGAAAAGCAUCCAUUAUACAAGUUAUGGCAAUACUCCCGUACUCACCUCAGUACUGGGUUAUCGGGGUUAUCUCACCAACAACUGCAUAAAAGAGAUUUUCGAUGUCGGCGUACUAAACUCAGGUAUUCCAGAACUGCAACGAUAAAAUUAUGACGACAACACCUCAGAGCUCGACUCCCCGGGACACUUCCACUAAACUCCUGACAGGAGGCACCAAGACAAUGUUCUCAUCAUAAAACCAUCGGAACGAUUCCAAGAUACCCGCGUGAUCCUAAAAAAAAAUUAGUGAAAUUUGAGAAGAGAAGAGUCAAAACUCUACGUCAGGAUGCCUUACCAGAGCGAUGAAGAGCCUGGGGAGUAAAAAGAAUUCCUAACUCUCCGAUAUAUAUAAUCCUAAAUGACUCAAAACAUUUUUUCUAGACACAACUCGGCCGCUAAAAACGAUCAAGCAGUGGGGCUCCUAAGGUCGGGGAAGGCUCUGAUACCAACUUGUAACGCCCUCGAUGCAGCUAUAUCUCCCACGUGUCGAAGCACGACUUAGAGGCAUAACCGCAUUGAAAGCAAUGUCGCAAGUGAGGUAAUCUUCACACAACCCAUGUAAUACAUAAGGGAAAGAGAUACAUAGUUGGCUUACAAUCGCCACUUCACACAAUUACAUGAAUAAAGCAUUACAUCAUCCAGAUACAAUCAAGGUCCGACUACGGAACCAAAAUAAAAGAACAACCCCAAAUGCGACAAAGGUCCCCGAUCGACCCCAACUGGGCUCCACUGCUGAUCAACUAGAACGAAACAACACAAAGGGCAAGAUCUUCAUCGAGCUCCUCCUUGAGCUUGGUUGCGUCACCUGCUCGGUAACAUAGGCA
rnacentral:lncRNA from 1 species